rnacentral:rRNA from 1 species
UGGAUCCAGACUUUGAUUAUGGCUCAGGAUGAACGCUGGCGGCGUGCCUAAUACAUGCAAGUCGAACGAAUCUUCUUCGGAAGAUGAGUGGCGAACGGGUGAGUAAUACAUAGGUAACCUGCCCCUGUGCGGGGGAUAACAGGAGGAAACUCCUGCUAAUACCGCAUAGCCAUGAGCACCGCAUGGAGCUCAUGCCAAAUAUCCUUCAGGGGAUAGCGCAGGGAUGGACCUAUGGCGCAUUAGUUAGUUGGCGGGGCAACGGCCCACCAAGGCAACGAUGCGUAGCCGGCCUGAGAGGGCGGACGGCCACAUUGGGACUGAGACACGGCCCGGACUCCUACGGGAGGCAGCAGUAGGGAAUUUUCGGCAAUGGGGGAAACCCUGACCGAGCAACGCCGCGUGAGCGAAGAAGGCCUUCGGGUCGUAAAGCUCUGUUGUAAAGGAAGAACGUCGCAUGCAG